UCUCAAAGCACGUCUCCUUUCGAUUAACUCCUCUUUCAAUAUCAAGAGGAUGUGAAAUUUGGAAUUCGGCUCGUAAUCCGCCAACGGGGCAAGUUCGUACGGCUUGUGCUUUCGACGCGCGCAGGUGCCUGUGAAUUCCAUCACACUGUCUGAUAUGGAGAUACGGCUUCCUGUCCUUGCUACAUAGUCUCCUCCCUCUCAGCCGUCUCAUAAAACACAUCCACUCAACAUCCCAAAAGACAGAAUCCUCUAGAAGCCAGCAAGACUGGAGAUGGCGAGGAUAAAAAUAUCCCUUUUGAGCUUGAAUGGCAGGCUAAACGUCUUUAUUCGCCCACUCCUGCGCUCAUUUUGGAUGAAAUACCUGAUUGAUCUACUCUCCUGUCUGUAUUUCCCUUUUGUUUGCAGGAGAUAAAGAGGAAAGUGUUACUAAGUACACAUAUGCACACGGGCAACACUGGGGCGUGGUCAACGCAGAUGCUGGGGACGUUUGGACGUUUUCGUUAUAUAUUUAUUGCAGGUAUUAACCCAUCCUUCUCAUUAGGGUGUGGAAGAGACAUGGAUCAAGGGUGCAUGGAGGUGGGUAUGGAUGAUAGAGAGUUGAAAGUGCCAUACAAAUGAAAACCGAAGGAUAAUGACCUUAAAGAUACAUGACUCCAGCAUAAAACGAAGCUGCUCUCUUUUUGUGGACUUGCUGAUGAAUGCACCUGUAACAUCACCUCACUCAGGUGCUGGUUUCUCUCUGGUUUCGAAUUUCUCUUUCGCUGGGUCCUAAAUUCUGACAAAUGCAUGGUUCUCUGUCCAGUCUCGGUGAAUAGACAACAUAACAGAAUGCAUGAGAUACUGUUUGACUUAAAGGAAAACAAAGACAACAACAACAAAAAAACGGUUGGGCCAUACUACAUACAUGUAUAAAAAAGGUUAUUUUUAUGAUGCCAGCAUGUUUUGCCUCCAAACUGUAGUAGCCGGAAUGUGUCCAGAUGUUUAACUCUUUCUCUGCCACUGAUGUUAUUUUCUGUCUUUCUGCGUUCUCACUGGUGUUUGGUAGGAGAUGAUAUUACACAUCUUCUGAAACUAUUCAAUGUCUGGAUCAACAUGCAGUUAAGAAGAAGAAGCAGAAACACGUGAUAGCAUAUGUAAAAUAACACAAUCAUCAAGCAUUAAACCGCAUAUAAAUAAAAAAAUGAUAGGACUUUUCAAGUUUUGGAUGUGUUGAUGGAAGUGAUCUACUACAUGUGUUUUGAUCAUCAUUCUAAACCUGAUUCAGAUCUAGUCUUUUACAAAAACGCUUUUUGUUCAAAAUGUAGCUUUUUUUAUUUUAUUAAACUUAUAAACAUUCAA